rnacentral:lncRNA from 12 species
CUCCUCCUCCUCCCAGCCUCCACCAUCACUGAACCAAAGCCCCAAAGGGCCGCUGGGCAGAGAAGGCCCCUCCUUGGGGCAUCCCCCAGCACCUCAGCCCACCCAUCUCCCCCCGGACUCUCUGCCCCCUAACAUUGCCAGAGUGCAAACCAGCCGGGUCUGAGCGGCCAGAGGCGUUGUUUCUGCAGAGCUUGGCGCCUCCUGCCCCACGGCCACCCCGUCCCCUCCCGCUGAGGCCCUCCUGUUUGCUGUGCCCCUGCCCCGCAGGAAGGCGCGCAUCCUGACAGCAGCUGGCGGCGGCCGCCUGCCAAGGUCAGUGUGGCUGCUUCUCCCGCCACAGGGAGCCCAGUUGGCUCGACGGCUCGAGACGCUCCGGGCCGCGCCCCCCUCUUCCCACGCUGCCAUCUGCAGCGCUUCGCCCGUUGCCCCAUAGCCCCAAGGUGACUGCUGGGGCCCCAGACAUGACAACCGUGUUGGAGGGGAAAAGGGCUGCCCCUGGGCCUCCUCUAGCUCGGGAAGGGAAACGAGCACGCUGGGGGGUCCCGAGCGGCCACGGACGCGGAGCAUACAAGCCUCAAGCUCCUGUUCAGAGGCUUACCUGGAGAGGCUCACCUGGAGAGGCCCACCUGGAGAAGCUCCCCUGGAGAGAUCCACCUGGAGAGGCUCACCUGGAGAGGCCCACCUGGAGAAGCUCACCUGGAGAGGCCCACCUGGAGAGGCCCACCUGGAGAGGCUCACCUGGAGAGGCUCACCUGGAGAGGCCCACCUGUAGAGGCUCACCUGGAGAGGCCCACCUGGAGAAGCUCACCUGGAGAGGCCCACCUGUAGAGGCUCACCUGGAGAGGCCCACCUGGAGAGGCUCACCUGGAGAAGCUCACCUGGAGAGGCCCACCUGGAGAGGCUCACCUGGAGAGGCUCACCUGGAGAGACCCACCUGUAAAGGCUCACCUGGAGAGGCCCACCUGGAGAAGCUCACCUGGAGAGGCCCACCUGGAGAAGCCCACCUGGAGAAGCCCACCUAGAGAGGCCCACCUGAAGAUGCUGGAGAGGCCCACCUGGAGAGGCUCACCUGGAGAGGCCCACCUGGAGAGGCCCACCUGGCAAGCUGGAAACUCUCAUUCACUGAAAUCAUUAGCUGGAUUUGCAAACACUAAUAAAAACAUUAGCAUAUAUAAAGAUCA